GUGAUGAUCUGGAAACCUUUACAACACGCAGCAAAGAACCUCCCAGAGAAAUUGCUCACUGGAUAUGUGAUGAACCUCAGGUAACCGAUACAG